rnacentral:ncRNA from 2 species
UGCUCAUCCAGAGGGGUGGAGGGACCGGCCCUGCGAAGCCCCGGCAACCCUCCCGGUGACCGAACUCGUGCCUCACGAGGCCGGCCGGGACAGGUGCCAAUUCCGGCUCGUGACCAGGGUGGUCACCGAGCGAAGAUGAGGG